rnacentral:lncRNA from 1 species
AAGAAAGGCUGAAGAGCCACUACUGAAACCAGAAAUAAAAAGGCUGGGAGAAGGAAGACAAUACUUCUCUCCUCUCCAUACUCUGCAGCCACAGUGAAACAGAGAUAAAGAGAUUCCAUGCCCAUGUGAGAUAACAAGAGACCCAGGAUGGAAUAGAACAAAGGCAACGAUGACAUCUCAGUUGUACUUCCAGAGGCUUCAUCUCACUGGUCUGCACCACCGUGCUGGAAAAUAUGCUCUGCCACCUUCCCUGAGGGCCAGCUGAGCAGCCCGAGCUCCUCGGAUUCCAACGGCAAGGCCUGGUGGCACCAGCAGACGCUUCAUCUGUUCCACCCUUGCUGCAAAACAUCUGUGAGCUAAAGCCCGUCCCAACUGCAACAAUCUUUGUGCCAAGGCUCAAUGGGCCCCUGUCAGCCUCCAUAACUGCCCAAAGGCCCGUCUGUGAGGUGCCCGGUACGGAUCCGGGUUACAGUGGUCUGCGGAUAGAGGAGAUCCUUGUGCCCCCUCCCUCCCUUUCUUCCCGAAUGGCCCAGCACACAGCACAGCCUGUAGCACCAGAAUCAGUGGACGUGAAAUGUUGUAAGUACAUUUUUCAGCGUGGGUCGAUGGGUCGAUGUGUCCAAAGGGACUCUUUGCUGACACAUCCAGGCUGAUUCCUUGGAGAGAGGCUCAAAUGCCCAUUUUCUAAUAACAUCAAUAAGGCCACUCAUCCUUGAAUACAGAACUCUCUUCAGGUACCCUCUGACCAGUCCGGCCGUGCUGGACUCUCUUAAUGGUCAGGUGACCCAAUGUGUCACCCAAGACUCCUACUUCACCCAGAGUUUGCUUUCCUGAGAAAAAAAAGUCCUAAAACUUUCGAUUUGAUCCCCAAGGACUGGGGAAAUAUCACAAGAUGGAAAGUGACUUUUCUUUGGCCGCAACGGGUGAUGACUUGUGAACAUGUCUCUUUUGCCCAAUUUGGCUUUAGCUAAAACCUACUGUUUUGAAUAAAACUUGGGCUACUCUCCA